UGGGGAAUUUUGGACAAUGGGCGAAAGCCUGAUCCAGCAAUGCCGCGUGUGUGAAGAAGGCCUUCGGGUUGUAAAGCACUUUUGUCCGGAAAGAAAUCCUUGGCUCUAAUACAGUCGGGGGAUGACGGUACCGGAAGAAUAAGCACCGGCUAACUACGUGCCAGCAGCCGCGGUAAUACGUAGGGUGCAAGCGUUAAUCGGAAUUACUGGGCGUAAAGCGUGCGCAGGCGGUUUGCUAAGACCGAUGUGAAAUCCCCGGGCUCAACCUGGGAACUGCAUUGGUGACUGGCAGGCUAGAGUAUGGCAGAGGGGGGUAGAAUUCCACGUGUAGCAGUGAAAUGCGUAGAGAUGUGGAGGAAUACCGAUGGCGAAGGCAGCCCCCUGGGCCAAUACUGACGCUCAUGCACGAAAGCGUGGGGAGCAAAACAGGAUUAGAUACCCUGGUAGUCCACGCCCUAAAACGAUGUCAACUAGUUGUUGGGGAUUCAUUUCCUUAGUAACGUAGCUAACGCGUGAAGUUGACCGCCUGGGGAGUAGGUCGCAAGAUUAAAACUUAAAUGAAUUGACGGGGUCAAGCUGUUUCCU
rnacentral:rRNA from 1 species